GGCCCGCACAAGCAGUGGAUUAUGUGGUUUAAUUCGACGCAACGCGAAGAACCUUACCGGGAUUUGACAUCCUACUAACGAGGUAGAGAUACAUUAGGUGCCCUUCGGGGAAAGUAGAGACAGGUGGUGCAUGGUUGUCGUCAGCUCGUGUCGUGAGAUGUUGGGUUAAGUCCCGCAACGAGCGCAACCCCUAUUGUUAGUUGCUACGCAAGAGCACUCUAGCGAGACUGCCGUUGACAAAACGGAGGAAGGCGGGGACGACGUCAAAUCAUCAUGCCCCUUAUGUCCCGGGCUACACACGUAAUACAAUGGCGGUCAACAGAGGGAAGCAAAGCCGCGAGGCAGAGCAAACCCCUAAAAGCCGUCUCAGUUCGGAUUGCAGGCUGCAACUCGCCUGCAUGAAGUUGGAAUUGCUAGUAAUCGUGGAUCAGCAUGCCACGGUGAAUACGUUCCCGGGC
rnacentral:rRNA from 1 species